rnacentral:rRNA from 1 species
GACGAACGCUGGCGGCGUGCUUAACACAUGCAAGUCGAACGGGCCUGUCUUCUUUUUUGGGGGGUGGGUUGAGUGGCGAACGGGUGAGUAUCACGUGAGUAACCUGCCCUUCGGUCCUGGAUAACCGCUUGAAAGGGCGGCUAAUACGGGGUGGUCCGGUUGGUCCGCAUGGGCUGGUCGGGUUAGAUUCACUGUUUUUGGUGUUUCGGCGGGGGUUGGGCUCGCGGCCUAUCAGUUUGUUGGUGGGGUGAUGGCCUACCAAGGCGGUGACGGGUAGCCGGGCGGAGGGGGUGGGAGACCAGAAUGGGACUGAGAUACGGCCCAGACUGCUGCGGGAGGCAGCGGUAGGGGGUAUUGCACAAUGGGCGGAAGCCUGAUGCAGCGACGUCGCGUGAGAGAGGGAGGGGUUCGGGUAGUGAACCUCUGUUUCCGGAGGUGAAGGCCCUGUCCGUGUAGUGGGGUUGACGGUAGCCGGAGAAGAAGCGCCGGCUAACUACGUG